rnacentral:rRNA from 1 species
AUACGUAGGGGGCGAGCGUUGUCCGGAAUGACUGGGCGUAAAGGGCGUGUAGGCGGCUGUCUAAGUCUGGAGUGAAAGUCCUGCUUUCAAGGUGGGAAUUGCUUUGGAGACUGGAUGGCUUGAGUGCGGAAGAGGUAAGUGGAAUUCCCAGCGUAGCGGUGAAAUGCGUAGAGAUUGGGAGGAACACCAGUGGCGAAGGCGACUUACUGGGCCGUAACUGACGCUGAGGCGCGAAAGCGUGGGGAGCGAACAGGAUUAGAUACCCUGGUAGUCCACGCGGUAAACGAUGAAUGCCAGGUGUUGCGGGUAUCGACCCCUGCAGUGCCGGAGUAAACACAAUAAGCAUUCCGCCUGGGGAGUACGGCCGCAAGGUUGAAACUCAAAGGAAUUGACGGGG